CAGCGUCACGAGUGGCAACCAGAUUUAUUGGGCCUAAAGCGUCCGUAGCCGGUUUUAUAAGUCUUUUGUGAAAUCGUUGCGCUCAACGUAACGUUGUGCAAGAGAUACUGUAAGACUAGGAAUUGGGAAGAGUUAGAGGUAUUCUGGGGGGAGCGGUAAAAUGCUAUAAUCCCUGGAGGACCACCAGUGGCGAAAGCGUCUAACUAGAACAACUUCGACGGUGAGGGACGAAAGCCAGGGGAGCAAAACGGAUUAGAUACCCGAGUAGUCC
rnacentral:rRNA from 1 species